ACGUAGGGUGCGAGCGUUAAUCGGAAUUACUGGGCGUAAAGCGUGCGCAGGCGGCUCCAUAAGCCCUCUUUUCCCUCCCCUUUCUUUCCCUUUUCCCUUCUUUUGUGACUUUAGGGCUUGAGUGCGGCAGAGGGGGGUGGAAUUCCACGUGUAGCAGUGAAAUGCGUAGAGAUGUGGAGGAACACCGAUGGCGAAGGCAGCCCCCUGGGCCGAUACUGACGCUCAUGCACGAAAGCGUGGGGAGCAGACAG
rnacentral:rRNA from 1 species